rnacentral:lncRNA from 1 species
UCAUGAAUGUCACUAACUUAACUAUUAUUUUUUUAGGUACAAAAUUUAAUUUUUGAAAUUUAAAUUAGGUUUUCUCUAAAGUUGGUUUCACCACACCAUAUGAGAUAUGAUAUGGUGGACAAGUUAGAGGAUAUGUCUGUGAAAGCUCACUUAUGGAGUAUCUCAAAAGGGUUUGGGAUGUCACUUUCUCUUUCCAGUGGCUCAUAAUGUGAUUGUGAGCAAUCAUACUAUUUUCUUGAAAAUAGUAGGAGGAUGAACUCAAAGAGAAAAUCUCUAAAGAAUAAUUAGUCAUAAGAUCUGUAUAACCUAUUUAAGAUGAGUCAG